rnacentral:sRNA from 1 species
GCCAGGCAUAGUGGUGCACGCCUGUAAUCCCAGCAGCUCAGGAGGCUGAGACAGGAGGAUAGAGAGUUCAAAGCCAGCCUCAGCAAACACAAGAUGCUAAGCAAUUCAGUGAGACCCUGUCUCUA